GCUAGUAAUGGCAGGUCAGCAUACUGCCGUGAAUACGUUCCCGGGCCUUGUACACACCGCCCGUCACACCAUGAGAGUUGGGAAUACCCGAAGCCUGUGAGCUAACUAUUAAAGAGGCAGCAGUCGAAGGUAGAAUCAAUGAUUGGGGUGAAGUCGUAACAAGGUACC
rnacentral:rRNA from 1 species